CCUACGGGAGACUGCAGUGGGGGAUAUUGCACAAUGGGGGAAACCCUGAUGCAGCGACGCCGCGUGUAGGAAGACGGUCCUCUGGAUUGUAAACUACUGUCCCCAGGGACGAAGAUGACGGUACCUGGGGAGGAAGCUCCGGCAAACUACGUGCCAGCAGCCGCGGUAAUACGUAGGGAGCGAGCGUUGUCCGGAAUUACUGGGUGUAAAGGGAGCGUAGGGGGGGAUGCAAGUUGGGUGUUAAAUCUACCGGCUAAACUGGGAGUCGCACUCAAAACUGCAGAUCUUGAGUGAAGUAGAGGCAGGCGGAAUUCCUAGUGUAGCGGUGAAAUGCGUAGAUAUUAGGAGGAACACCCGUGGCGAAGGCGGCCUGCUGGGCUUUUACUGACGCUGAGGCUCGAAAGUGUGGGGAGCAAACAGGAUUAGAUACCCUUGUAGUC
rnacentral:rRNA from 1 species